UGAUCUGUGCAGCAGCCCUGUCAGGUUAGUGCUAUUAUUAUCCCCAUUUUACAGAUGAGGAUAAGGCCUCUGAAACAGCUUAUGUGACUUGGAAUUGAGCAGGUUUUCUAAUGGAGUCACACAGCCCAGACUCAAAACUUCUUCAUGACCUUUGGAUAAGCCAUGCUGUUGGUUCUUUGAAGAUUGGCAUGGCAUGAAGCCAUAAAACAUGACUAGAAGAAUAUUGGUAUUUAAAAGUGGGCAUUUACUUCAUUGAGAAGUUUAGAAACAUUAAAGAAACUUUGCAGUUUUCCAAAGGCAGUCCAGCUAGUUCUCCUCUUGUUCAGUUCUGGCCUGUGCUUGUUGUCCUUUU
rnacentral:lncRNA from 1 species